CCUACGGGUGGCAGCAGUGAGGAAUAUUUGUCAAUGGACGAGAGUCUGAACCAGCCAAGUAGCGUGAAGGAUGACUGCCCUAUGGAUUGUAAACCUCUUUUAUAUGGGAAUAAAAUGUUCCACGUGUGGGAUUUUGUAUGUACCAUAUGAAUAAGGAUCGGCUAACUCCGUUCCAGCAGCCGCGGUACUACGGAGGCUCCGAGCGUUAUCCGGAUUUAUUGGGUGUAAAGGGCGCGUAGGUGAAUUGUUAAGUGAGUUGUGAAAGUUUGCGGCUCAACCGUAGAAUUGCAGUUGAAACUGGCAGUCUUGUGUACAGUAGGGGUGGGCGGAAUUCGUGGUGGAGCGGUGAAAUGCUUAGAUAUCACGAAGAACACCGAUGGCGAAGGCAGCUCACUGGACUGCAACUGACACUGAGGCUCGAAAGUGUGGGUAUCAAACAGGAUUAGAUACCCUGGUAGUC
rnacentral:rRNA from 1 species